AGCGAACGCUGGCGGCAGGCUUAACACAUGCAAGUCGAGCGGGCGUAGCAAUACGUCAGCGGCAGACGGGUGAGUAACGCGUGGGAACAUACCUUUUGGUUCGGAACAACACAGGGAAACUUGUGCUAAUACCGGAUAAGCCCUUACGGGGAAAGAUUUAUCGCCGAAAGAUUGGCCCGCGUCUGAUUAGCUAGUUGGUGAGGUGAUGGCUCACCAAGGCGACGAUCAGUAGCUGGUCUGAGAGGAUGAUCAGCCACAUUGGGACUGAGACACGGCCCAAACUCCUACGGGAGGCAGCAGUGGGAAUAUUGGACAAUGGGCGCAAGCCUGAUCCAGCCAUGCCGCGUGAGUGAUGAAGGCCCUAGGUUGUAAAGCUCUUUGUGCGGGAAGAUAAUGACGGUACCGCAAGAAUAAGCCCCGGCUAACUUCGUGCCAGCCGCCGCCGUAAU
rnacentral:rRNA from 1 species